UACGAAGGGUGCAAGCGUUACUCGGAAUUACUGGGCGUAAAGCGUGCGUAGGUGGUUGUUUAAGUCUGUCGUGAAAGCCCUGGGCUCAACCUGGGAAUUGCGAUGGAUACUGGGCAACUAGAGUGUGGUAGAGGAUAGUGGAAUUUCCGGUGUAGCAGUGAAAUGCGUAGAGAUCGGAAGGAACAUCUGUGGCGAAGGCGACUAUCUGGGCCAACACUGACACUGAGGCACGAAAGCGUGGGGAGCAAAC
rnacentral:rRNA from 1 species